rnacentral:lncRNA from 1 species
AGUUGGACCGCGCCGCCGGUGUCCGAGGUCCGCGCCGCUGCCGUUACCGCUCGCCGCGGCGCUCACAGCGGUUUUGCAGCGUGCGGCCGAGCUCCUCCAGCGUUGCCUCGGCCUCGGAGCACCCAGGCAGAACAUUUCUGAAAUAUAAAGAUGUUCAUGAGGAGUUUCUCUGAAAUUAGCCCUCCGGCUGCACAAGCGAGCCGCCCCGGGGACUUCUCCAGGCAAGAAUGACAACAGGGCUGUGUCCUCAACCCCUCGAUUCAGUACCUUAGACCAGCAUCAGGGAACCUCCCACAGGGGAGGCCAAUCAGCUGCCCUGCCCCAAAGAAGAGUUUUUAGCAGGAGAGAGAAGAAAGAAGCCACAAAGUGACAAGAGUGACCAGAACUGCGGGCCAGACAGAUUUCAGACUCUGAGGAAGAACCACAUCUUGUCCUUUGUGCUCUUCGCGGCACCUCUGAACAUCGAGGGACAUGGGACGGCUUGGGAACUGGUGACUGUAUGUGGCCGUGGACACCACGCUGAGCGCAGACUGUGGUUCAAGGCGGUGGCGGGUGGCGAUGCGUUACCUGUGAGGUCGCAGCCUGCCUUCCCUGGGCUGGCCGUCAGCCCUUCUCUCCCAAGUCACGCGGGAGGAAGGUGAUUUCGUCCCGACUGCCACCCUGCCCCCCCUACGCCCCCACCCCCACCGGCAGCCAGAUUAGCCCGGAUGUCCGUAAGGUGGCAGAUGCUUAGUCCCGUUGCCUGGGUUCUACCUGAGAGGUACUGCUGGCCGCCAUGCGCUGCACUAACCCUGCAAGUGCCCUUGAACCCUCUGGUCCUUCCUGACCUUCUUAUGCCUUAAGAAGGGGGAGGCAGGGAACAAGCAAGGCGUCAGGAUGUUGGAGAGGCAGCCGGUGUCCUGGUUAAGGAGGGCCAGCUUGGGGGCACCCUCAGCAGGAACCUGGAACUCUUUGAGAGCAAGGUCUAUGUCUGAAACAUCUCUAUUUUCAAGUGCCUCGCUCCAUGCCUGGCACGUAGUAGGUAUUUGCCUGGCACAGAGUAGGUGAGCAGUGCUCCUGUAGUGAGCAGCAACCCAGGAGUGCGAGGAAGUGACUGGGAGAACUGAUGUUAACAACUGGGCUGAAAGGUUCCCCCCCGGGCCGCCCCCCCAGGGGUACACCAUCCUCUUGGUGUAUGUCGGAAUUCUGAGUCAAGCACAAAAUGCAGACACCCCUUGUCUUUUGUUAGCUGCAGACUCUCUCUCUCCCCUGCAAAAAAGGGGACUACUUCUGUCUGUCCAUCCAGGGACUUUUAUGGCCUCGGCGCUCUGAUCUAAAUUUCUUUAAAAGCCAGUGAGUUAGAAAUGUUCAUGGUGGGAUCCUAAGAGCUGGUCCUGGGUUGGGCACUGCCCAGAAGAACUGCAUGUCCUCAGCAUCCAAGGCUGCCUCUGAUCAGCUGUACUUGAGCCUGGUGAAGAUGUGAGCAGAUCGUCGCGCGUUGAGGAGAGAAAGAAAGGGAGGGCCCGGACCAGCCGCCUCGCUGUCUGCUUACCAAAGGCUCACCGCUCCCGAGGUCGUCCCUGGGCAGGAGGCCAGCUGGUCACUGGGUUUGGGGGCUCCUGUCUUGGAAGCUUCUAGCUGGCACGUCCUGGGUCUCCAGCGGACCCUCUCAGAUACUCUUCCCACGACAACCCCGAGACCAAACGAGUCAGACAUGAUUAAAGAGGCAGAGGAGGCUGAGAUGGCUAAUCCAGGGAAGGCUCCUGGGAGAGCAAGGACUGGACGGCUGGGGGCCUCUCAGCGCGGCACUGCUGGGGAGCUGGCACCGGCGGUUCCAGACAAACUGUCCCAAAGGCUUCUGGGAAGUGGCUCCAGCAACUAGAAGGAAAGCUGUAAAGCACUUUAUGGUGUGCGAAGUGACCCCCCCACCCCCACUCCCCACCCUGGAGGACCCCGAGAGAAGCACCACGAGGCUCUUCUGACGGGCGCUGGCGAGCUGGCCAUCCUUGCAGGGGCUCGGCCCCACUCCCGGGGGCGUGAGACUGAGGACGACGGCACUGACCACCGAGCGUUCCGUGCUUCACACGCAGCAUCUCAUUUAAUCCCCCCAUCGAGCCUUGAAACGGGCCGUUUCUAUCCUUACAUUACAAAUGAAGAAACUAAGACAUGGAGAGGCCAAAUAACUUGCCCAAGGUCAUGCAACUAAGAAGUAGGGGAAUAGGAUUCAAAGCCAGGUCUGCCCAACAGCCGGGCUUUUGAAAGUUCUCGUUCUCCCACUGCGGGAUUUUUUGCAUUCCCUGUGCUGGGAUAACCAGCCCAUCUCCUGUCCCCCGUUACAUGGUUUUCUUGAAACAGUUCUGCUUCUCCAGUCUCUCCUGUGGCCCAUUAAAGCCACAAACUGGUUUCUAGGAGAACACGUCGAGUCGGUGCUGAGUGCUUCCCACCCCAUUAAAGCCGUGUUCACGACAAAUGCCCAGCUUCCUACUAGCAGUCACUGGACUUUCUGCUUCGGGAACCUGGGGAGAUCUGUGCUUAGGCUCUCAGUUCUGAAGAUAGGGUAAUAACAGGUGGAGCAAAGCAAGGACAUCUUAUUUCUGUUCCACCCUGACUGGACCUCAAACAGAGUUACCUGAAGAGCUGGAUUUGGCUGGGCUGGUUCAACUGUGGCCUUAGCUCAAGGGUUCUGUCUGCCAGCCAGACUCCCCUCCCGUCCUCCAUGGGGCAUCCACUGAAAGGGGGAUGAAGUAUCCAAACUGGCUUUUUCACUCCUGGGUCUGGCGCCCCGGCGCUCUCCUAGGCGGCGUCUCGGUGGAGCGGCCUCAUCUUACAGUGUUGCCCUGGGCUCCCAGAACCCACUGUCCGUUCCCUUCUCCACUCCUUUCUGCCCCCCACCCCGCAGCCGCUUCUGUGGGGAAGGGUCUCAUUCAGCCCCCGCUGCCAGGUGGCUGUGCUGUAUCUCGUGACCCUGCUCUGCCCCCCCUACACACACACAUACAGGUCACUGGACCAGGAUCUAUAUAGGCUGGCCAACAACUUUUGAAGUCCCCUGGCUCAGAAAUAUAAAGAAAGCCAGUGAGACCAGUCAGAUUCCCCUUUUAGGAAACAUGAACCCCCACAUCAGACCAUACGGGCAGUGUGUGACAAGAGGUGGCGAGAACAGGAAGGAGCCUGGAGGGACUGAUGUGUUGGCCAGAAUUACAGCGAGGAAGAAAGCUGGAGAUUAAAAAAAAAAGCAAAACAAGCUGUGACACAGAAAAAAUGCACUUCUAGCGUCUUUUGGUGAAAAGAUAAAGGAAGGAAUGACCAGAAGGGAGCUGGGACUCUGAAAGGCAGAGAGACAGGCUGGCCCUGGAGCCACCCUGGGGCCCACUAGACCUGCUCUGCCCCAGUGGGUGUCACUGCAGUGAGCUCAUUACUUACUCCCUUUGCUGACUGUUGGCUUAGACGUGAGUGGGCACGUGACUUAGUUCUGCCAACAAAACUUACAGAGAAAUGGCCGGGGAACAUUCUGGGAAGAAGUUUGCUUUCUGAUCAAAAGAGGCAGAGAGACUGAAGAGGCCCAUCCCUUCGUCCUGCUUUGAACAUGGAUGUUUGAGAUGUGAUAGCUGGAGCUGGAGCAGCCAUCUUGAGACCAUGAGGCAAAAAGACCAAGCAAAAAAGCCAAUACACCAAGAUGGGCCAAGCAACAGAUUAAAAAAAGCCUGGGUCCUUGAUGAUAGCGUUGAGCCAUUAUACCUAUCCUGGAAUCACGUACUUCCAGUCUUAAUGAUCUAUCAAUUAAAUGUCUUUUAUUUUCUAAGCAGAUUUCUGCUAUUCGCAGCCUUCAGCUGUGGGCAGAGAAUGCUGGCGGUUGACAAGGACCAGAUUAUGCCUUCUUCGGAUCCACCCUGUAUCAAGCAGUGUGUGGUUCAUGUUGUUUGAACACCAGAAAAUGUGCCUGACCCUUCCCUUAUGAAAUGAGAGGCUGAACUCAGAACUCUAGCCCUUCCUCUCUAAAUUUCUAGUUUUAGAAGACAAAGAGAACCUGGCAUCGUCCUAAUGUACCCUUCAGAUGACAUAUUAUUCCACUACAUACAGAACUUGAGAAAAAUCAAAAGCCCGUUUCCCAUCUCGAAAGAGUCUUCAGCAGUAAAGACGCAUGGCCCGCAGGAGUUCACCCAGUAAAUGGGGCCCCCCCGAACAGAGAUGUGUUGCAAUCACAGCAGAAUUUGCACCCUCCAGCUGCUGGGGGUAAGCCACACACCGUCCUUAUGGAGUCCUGCCCCCGGGCCCAAACGAGGCUCUGUUAUUAUUACUUCAUUCAUUCAGCAGACAUGGACUGAAUACCCCCUGGAAGAAGAAUUUAAGCUUAUAAAAGCAAGGUUAAUAUAAGGAAGCUAAAACAUUAGAGAUUUAAAAAAAAAAAAUCCUCUGAGAUGAUCGGAGAAAAGAAUGAAAGCUUUGGUUGCAGUGGAAGAAGCAAAAUGUUGAAACCCCUACUUAAUGCAAUUAAUGCUUCAGUGUGAUACUUAAUCAACCCCUGAACUCUCCCCACCCCCUAAAGUUUCCCCAUAUGUCACUAAGGAUGCUCUGAAACCCAACAGGGAAGAGAACUGAAGGCUUUUCCUCCUUCUCCCUAAUGAAGGUUUUUCUCCAGAAUGAAUGAGCCUGAUUACUGACUAAAGGCCCUCCUGCGGUCUUUACGCCCAGGGUGCUGCUUUCCUGAGAGUUCUCCAAAGACGAGAGAAGGGGCUCCGCUCUCCCCAGAUGGCGCCACGCGGCUCUGACGCACUGGCUUCUCUCUCGCACGAAUGAUCUGACGUUCAGUGUGCUUCACGCUGCCCCCGACAGCUUUCCACAUUCAUCACAGGUGCCCGCUUCGAGUCCCAAGGAACGUGCUGACAGUCUAAGGCUGGAACUCUGGCUCCAGGCUCUUCCCCACCCAUUCUGCUCGCGGGGCUCCUGGCCGCUCUGAAAUCCCAGAUGUCUAAUUAGCUCUGAGCACAGUCUAAAAGCAUUCGCACAUCCGUUCUGUGCAUAUGGUUUUUCUCCAGUGUGAAUUCUCUGACGUUGAAUGAGCUUUCCUUUCCCGCAGGCGCCCACAUUGACGGCAUUUGUAGCACUUCUGAAUGUGAAUUAGCCGAUGCCAUGUGAGGCGUCAGAAAGCUGACGGAUGCCUCCCUCAAACAAGGACUCUUUCCAAAAUGAAUGUUAGAAUGUUCUGGAGGACGGGAGCCCUGAGAAAAGUCGCCUCCAUUCAUAACAAAGAUGUUCCCUCUAAGAUGCAUAUUGUAAUGUUGAAUAAAUUCUGAAUUCUAAGAUUUGGCCACAACCAUUUCCUCACUUCUUAGAAAAUGUGUGGAGAAUUGCAGAUUUUCCCAUAUGCAUCACGUUCCUGGGGUGGGGCCCCUAAAGGUUCUCGAGGAUCUCGCUGUAUCCACAGACCUGUCUACACUCAAACCUGGUCGGUGUCCCACAGGGACCUUCUCCAGGCAUCCAGCUCUGAGUUCCCACUCAGGCCACAUGGCUGUGCCCAGUCCCAGGUCACAAUAUGAAAUUACAGGAAAUGUACAUUUCAACCACUGUCUCUAUUUUCUUUGAUGUCUUUUUAGGGCUGAACUCAGGGCAUAUGGAGGUUCCCAGGCUAGGGGUCAAAUCAGCUACAGCUGCCGGCCUACGCCACAGCCACAGCAACGCGGGAUCCGAGAAGCGUCUGCAACCUACAGCACAGCACAUGGCGCUGCCAGAUCCUUAACCCACUGAGCUGAGCCAAGGAUCAAACCUGAGUUCUCAUGGACACUAGUUGGGUUCAUUACCACUGAGCCACAACGGGAACUCUUCAACCACUGUCUCUUACAAGAUCAAGUUUCUUGGACUAAGAAUAAAAGAUUUGGGGAGAUCAAUGAUAAGCAUACCUUUGGGCAAAUAUAUAAAGUGAUGGGUGUGACAGAUUGCUGGGUUUUGGUAUUUUCCUUUCUUAACCCAGUUUUCACCACAGUGAGAAGGUAGCCAUUAAAACCGCUCACGUUCUCUGGUGACCGGGAGGGAGCACGUGGGCAGGUGCAAGGAAGCUGUUCCCAGUGUUUCUUGAUCUGGAUGCUGGUCAGAGUGUGUUCAUUUCCCCAUCCUCCCAGGCAGCCCCAGGACAGUUCCAGCAAACGAGGUAGAAGCGGAACUGGGCUUUCAAGGAAACCUGUGACAGGGAGCAGACUCCAGAGCAGGAACCUCUUGCCUUCUCCCUACCUGCCCCACUUCUUUCUGCCGGAUCCUGGUCAUGACGCUGGCUCCUGCCGCAGCCAUCCUGUGAGCACAUGGAGAAGGGUCAAGGGCAGAAGAUGGCACAGCGACCCUGCAGACGGUGCCUGGUCCUGGUGGCCUUGAACUUCUCCCUUCCGGAAUUCUCACUGUUUUUAGUCUAGUGGGGGAGAAAUGAUUCACAUUUGAUGAUGGACGUAAGGCAUUUUUCCCUAUGUUUAUCACCUCUUGUUUUAAUUUCUGUCUUUCCCUACCUUCCUUUGUAAAACAUGUGUACUCAUGGAAUAUGUUAGUACUUUGUGUGUCAAAAAUGUUGCAGAUUAAAAAAAAAAA